rnacentral:tRNA from 1 species
AAUAGGGUGGCUGAAAAUUAAGGUUGUAAAUUGUAAAUUUAUAUAUGAGGAUAUACUCUCCUAUUA